rnacentral:pre_miRNA from 1 species
UCCUAUGGAUAAGCAAAGAAAGUAGUUUCCUGAGAUGAAAUCUACUGCUGGUGAAGAUGCUGUUGAA